UUUUUCUUUUGCCCUUGUUUCCAGGUAUUUAUGUUGUCUUUGCAUUUCAAAAAGACCCUAACGCUGGCAGGCGCAGCAGCACUUCUGACAAAUGAGUCCAUGCCCUCCAUCAUCACCCAAGUGCAACAGAAUCAAUGGGCCCUGGCAUAAAGGAUUUCUGCAUCACGGACCGUUCUGAAUGGUUUUUAAUGCAAGACAUUCAGGGAGGGGGGGGUGCAUUGUGAGAGGUUCACUAGACUCCAAAAUAAAGAUUUGUUUUGGUA
rnacentral:lncRNA from 1 species